UUAAUAUGGCAGAAAAGUGCAAUAGACUUAAACUCUAUAUCAUAAAGUUUUUUAAAUCUUUUAUUAAA
rnacentral:tRNA from 1 species